UGCGUAGGCGGACUAAUAAGUCAGUGGUGAAAUCUCUCGGCUCAACCGGGAAACUGCCAUUGAUACUGUUAGUCUUGAGUUCGGUUGAGGUAGGCGGAAUGUGUAAUGUAGCGGUGAAAUGCUUAGAUAUUACACAGAACACCAAUUGCGUAGGCAGCUUACUAGACCGACACUGACGCUGAGGCACGAAAGCGUGGGUAGCAAACAGGAUUAGAUACCCUGGUAGUCC
rnacentral:rRNA from 1 species